AUGGCGUCGUCCGGCAGCCCCUUCACCGACCACGCGGGGCUCGCGAGCACCUCGCCCCACACGUCGGCGCUGGCCUCCCGUGUCCUCAGCACGCCGGCGACCGCCUUGAUGGCCAGAGGGAUGCCGCCGCACUUCUCGACGAGCCUUUCGCCGACGCUCUUCAGCUGGCUCUCGUCGUCAGCCACGCACGCCGCCGUGCGGAGCAGCAGCCAGCCGUCGUCGGUGCUGAGUCUCUUCACCCGGUGGACAAGGCUGGCGCCCAUCUCGCGGGCAGUGCUGCCGCGCCGCGCUGUGACCAGCACCUUGCCGCCGCGGCCCAGUGGGUUCUGCAGCACGUCCUCCCACACCCCGCCGUACCACACGUCAUCGACCACGAGCAGGAACCUCUUGUUCGCCACCAGGCCUGUCAGCAUUGCCUGGAGGUCGGCGACGCUCUCGCCGCCCUUGGUGUCGCCCCCAAAGGCGUCGAUGACCUGCGAGAGCAGGCCGGCCUCCGUGUACCCUCUGGAGAGGCGAACCCAUGAGGUUGUCCCGAAGCUGCAACGCACCCUCGCGCUCUCGUAUACCAUCCUCGCGAGCUUGGUCUUGCCGAGGCCGUCCGGUCCGACGAUGGCGACGACUUCGCAUGUGGCUGGCCUGCCCGUCUGCGUCAGCCGAUCGACGAGCAGGCGGGCGUCGUCCUCGAUCCUUGUGCCGACGAUGCCGGGAUCAGCUGGCUGGCGCCUCAGCAACGUCCGCGUAUGGACGGUGGGAUCGGCCGCGUACGCCGCGUGGAGCUGCAGCCGGCGCUGCUUCCUCAGUAUCGCCUGCAGGUUCCGGUUCACGCGCUUGAGGUCGGCGGCGAUGUCGCCGUGGGGCUCGGCGUCCUCGCAGCAGGAGGAUAGCAGCCAAGGCAGAGCCUGCACGCCAUGA
rnacentral:rRNA from 1 species